ensembl:lncRNA
CCCUCUGCACAAACCUUUAAAAAUUUGUCCAACAAUUUCUGAUUUAAGGCGACUACCCCACCUCCGCUUGCACCUCUCAGGGCCUAGGAAUUCCCCAGUUUACAUCCAAAGCCUCCCAGAGCAUUGCCUAAGGUUGAAAAAGAUUAAAAAGUUUUAUUUUUAAAGAAAGGAGCUUUUAAAAAAUACACAAUAUACAGAGCCUACUCCUUGCAGAAAACCCCCCUCAGGGGGGCUUCACCCAAGCAAAAAAAGAGAGAAAAAGAAAAAAGAAAAAAAGUGAAAAAGAAAAAAGGAAAGAAAAUAGAGAAAGAUCUAAAGAUAGAAAAAGAACUAAAGAGUGAAAAGGAGAGAGGAACGGAGGAGGAAGAAAUCAGGGAAUGCAGCAAGAUAGGAAAAGGAAAAAAGGAAGUUAGAAAAAGAGAUACAGAGAGAAAGAGAGGGAGGAGGAAAGAAAAAGUUAGAGAGAAAGAUGGUAAAGGAAAGAAAUGAAAGAAAGAGAAGACAGUAAGAAGGAAGAAGGGAGAAUGAAAGAGGGAAAUAAGAAGGAAAUGAUAGAAAGUAAAAGAGAAGAGAAGAGGAAGGAAAAAAGAUAGAGUGAGGGAAAGAAAACUUGAGAAAGAUUUAAAGAGAAGAAGGAAGAAAAAAUCAGCAGAGGAGAGAGGAGAGGACUUACAGGACACUGUGGCCAGACGCCCUGGUGAGCUACCUCCCCCUCUGCGCAAACUUUUAAAAAAACUUAUCCACCACUUUCUGAUUUGGGGCGAUAGCCGCCGCCUCCGUUUGCGCCUUCCAGGGCCCAAGAGUUCCCCACUUUGCCCCCAAAGCCUCUCAAAAUGUUGCCUAAGCCUGAAAAAGAUAAAAAGUUUUUUAAAUAGUGGAGCUUUUAAAACAGACUGCAUGCACAAUAUGCAGAGCGUGCUCCUUGGAGAAAACCCCCUCAGGGGGGUCUCACCCAGGCUAAGAAAAAAGCGGACCGGUAAGGGGAUUUAGCAAAAAUUUUAACCCCGGACUUGCGGUUGCUCCGAUUCCAAUGGGAGUGGCUGGCCCCCUGCCUGAGGGCAUUGUAGGACUUGUGCUAGGGUGUAGCUCGCUUUCUUUUCAAGGAAUUUGGGUGGUGUAUGGUGUAGUAGAUUCUGAUUAUAUUGGAGAAAUUAAAGUUUUGAUCUCGCUGCCUACCAAAACUGUGCAAAUUAAUAAAGGUCAAAGAAUAACACAGUUUUUGCUUUUACCUUACUAUUAGACAAGAAAAACCUUGACUUCUCAAGCUAAGAGCCACAGAGCAUUUAGAUUUAGUGAUCUAGCUUUUUGGGUGCAGGGAAUUACAGCUCCAAGGCCUUUAAAAGAUCUUUUAAUUCAAGAAAAUAAAAUGUCAGGGCUAUUAGACACAGGAACAGAUGUCUCUUAACAUUGCUGGAAAAGACUGGCCCAGUCCCUGGCCCACACAUACUACUAAAAAUGAGUUGGUGAGAUUAGAGAAAGUGAUAUGCGGGGUGAGAAUGCUGUAGAAAAAAAAAAAAAAAAAAGGUGAGGGAGAGUUUAAAACCUUGAAGAGUAGUGAGUUCCCUGUUGCUGGAAGUAUUCAAGCAAAGAUUAGAUGGUUGCUUGUCAUCUAAAAAGCUAUAGACCAGAUUUAGGUUACAAAACAAAAACUGGAGAAGCUUAUAAAGAUGUUGUGCAACACCUCUUUACUUGCUUCUCAUAUUUAGGUGCCAAAAGUUUUGAAAACUGACAAUGCCCCUUUGAAGCUGCGGAGAGAUUGUUUACUAACUUUAAAUGAUUUCCAAAAAUUAUUAGGGGACAUUAAUUGGAUACGCCCACAUUUAAAACUGACUACU